rnacentral:lncRNA from 1 species
UCCCUGCACUGUUAUCAACUGAUACUCUAAUGUCCAAUUUCCUGGCUCAAGAAUGAAGGGCUAUGGGCUGGUCCUGCUUUUUCAAAUUGUUGUAGUUAAGCCAGAAGUUUAUGCAGAUGAGUAGAACUGGAACACUGUCCUGCUUGACCUGGAUUCUCCUCAAUUCCCUCCAGUGAGGAAGGCCUAUGCCCCAUUCAUCCUCUGGCUCUAACAUGGUGGCAUGGAACAGUUGAAUGAACUGACAGUAGACUUUGUUAUCUGCGUCCAUCCUUCUAGAUCCAGAAGGAAAAGAAACAUUGGUGGCCAGAGUUCAGUUUGGUUCAGUUCUCUGGCACUAUGUGACCAAGUCAGAUGUUCUCAGACCUGUUGCAGUGACCUUUCUCCUAGACUCUGUAACACAGGCUAUUCUGGCUCAGCCAGAAACUGGAAGCAGCCUAUAUGCCUCUCAACUGAAGAAUGGAUACAGAAAAUGUGGUACAUUUACACAAUGGAGUACUACUCAGCAGAAAAAAAAAAAC